rnacentral:lncRNA from 1 species
ACGAUGUUGGCUAGCAAAAAUAAUGAUGAGAGAAUAACGCAUUAUUCAUUUACAACUUUUGUAAUUACCCAUCCGUUUGGCCUCUAGAGAAUGUUGCCUCACGAUGAUACAAUGUCGGCUUCAUUGCACUUAGUUAAGUUAUUCCCACCAUGCUUAGUUUGUAUAGGGGUUCAAGAAUAGCCUCACGAUGAUACGAUGUCGGCUAUCCUCGUUGCCUACAUUCACCUCAUCAUAUGUAUAUGAAUUCCUCCUGGAUGUAAGCACAUGCUUUGUACUUCCCCAUGAUAGGGUGAAGCCGGUGCAUGAGUCACAAAAGCUUGGAACCCACCACGGUGGAAGGCCUACGAAGAGAUGUUCAAAACAUCUCUCGCUUAUCAACUUAAUAUUUGAUUUGAGGGAGUAGUUUUGGGCUAUAUCAAAACAUUUUAAUCACAUUAAAAGAACUUGGGCCUAUCAUAACUAUUGGUCCAAGUCAAUAUGAUUUAGUAGCAUAUAAUACUCCCACUGUUUCGUUGAAACAAGCGAGACUAUAUGGAACUACUAACGAA